rnacentral:misc_RNA from 1 species
UAUAUUAACAGCCAGAUAGCCUGCAAAAUAUUCAUUCAAGGAAUCAAGGUUUUCAUUAUAUGCGAAUAAUAUAGACAACAUUUGAAGAAUAUUGUCAAGCAGAAGGGCAAAAUAUCAAUGUUAUUUCUUCCAAGUAGACAACAUUGCCGGAAUAUGCUAGGGGCAAGUAUAAACCAUCCAUCACUUGCUACCUAUGCAAUAUCAGAAGAGAAUGCAGGUAUCUGAACAAAGGUUUGUAAAGCAGAUGUACUUAGAACUACAUCUUCAGAUUGGACAUUAUCAGUAAGUCAUAAGAGGUGACCCACUGCAAUGGACAUCGGUUGAUUCUGCAAGCCUUUGCCUUGGUGACAAUGCUGUGAUGCCCGUAGAAUCAACAUCAAAGUUCACAAUAUUUUUUCGCUUCUGAGAAUCUGAAUUCAUCUUUUCCUCUGAUGAAGCCUCAAAAAUGGGACUUAAUCCUUCUUUCUGCUGAAGGGAUACCAUGGCUUGAGCUUCUGCAACUACAGAUGGGUCAUCAUCUACAGCGUACAAGAUUCUUUUUAUUGCUGCAACAACAGUUGAGUUUUCAAUCUCAGGACUCUGGCACAGAAUCUCGAUAUCUCUCAGCUUCGCAAAGUAGAAGUCCCUCUCCUUCUCAAGACUGUCCACUGACAGCUUCAAUUCUGUGAUCUGUUCAUCAUAUGCAGGCACUGGAUUAGGAGGUGGUUUUGAGGCCUUCACAGAUUGAUUUGUAGAGUUCACAGAGGACACAUCAUUCCUUCGAGCAUUGUGGGAGGACUGUGCUUUAGGGGCAGCAGUUGAAGUCUUGGCUGAAGGUUGAGAUGCCACACAUUUCUUACUUGCUUCUUUUCCUCCCUUGCAUGCCUCUCUUCUUUCCAAUGGAUUGUAACUAACCAUGAAAGUAAGCAAGUAAAUCCAACCAGUCAUUUUGACUAUGCUAGUAUAACUGAAGUAGGCAACUUAUUUGGCAAGCUAUUAUUCUAUUUGUCAGGAUAACCCUUGCAAAUACAAGAUAAGAAAUGAAGUCAAUAUAUAAUCUGUAUACCGCACUCUGCAGCUUUCAGCAGCAAACAGGAAAAAACUUAAUGGCAUUUAUAUAACUUCUUAGCAAUUAUGCAUAGACUCAUAUUUUCUCAGCAAUUAUGCGUGUCCUCAUAUGAAUCUACUAACAAGACAAAAGAACGGAAAAAUCUUCUAGGUAUAUCAAAAAUAAGGUGUAAGAUUGAAAAUUAUACAGUGAGAAAGCUAUGCGGAUCACAAAAAUUGAAAAGUACAAAAACAAUUAGGGUGAAAAGAAAAUACAUACAAGUUAAGAUAAAAGACAAAGAAAAGAAAAGAAAUUGCCAGCAGCGUUGGUAAAUGUUGGCUUCUUGUUUUGUUCCCAAUUUAACUAUAAAACGUGGAUUAGAGAUGCCAAGCCACAAUUCAGCAUUUUAAAAUUCCUAGUAUCAAAAACUGCAAACAGAGCUUCCAAUUGAUUAAUCAAUAAAUCAACAGCACAUAACAAAAAUUACACAAUUUGAAAAAGACUUCGCUUUGAUUUAACAGAGAACAAGAAACUACAACAGAAACACGAGGUCCUACGAGGAAUGUUAUAUUCAAAAUAUUGCCAUUUAGUGAUGAACUUAACUGAACAAUAGAUCUUACCCUGUAGUUUGUAUCGCACUUCAGCCAACGAUAAUAAACCAAAAAAAGCUAAAUAAAAUUACAAAUUACAAUUAUUAAAAUUAAAGAGAGUGAAAAUUACUUGAGAGCGCCUCCAUUAACAGAAUCGCAAUAAUGCUUCAUCCACUGCAUGAACUCCAAAUUAUCAAGCGGUCUUCCUUUUAUAAGCUUAUUCACUUCCAUGUG